rnacentral:rRNA from 1 species
UGAGGAACAUGACCUUCGGCGGGGGAUAGCCGGCCCAACGGCCGGGUAAUACCGCGUACGACCACAUGGGGACAUCCCUGAGUGGUGAAAGCAGCAAUGCGCCGAUGGAGUGCCUCGCGGCCUAUCAGCUAGUUGGUGUGGGUAAUGGCCCACCAAGGCGACGACGGGUAGCCGGCCUGAGAGGGUGACCGGCCACACUGGGACUGAGACACGGCCCAGACUCCUACGGGGAGG